rnacentral:rRNA from 1 species
AUGGAGAAGGCAGCGGCGAAGACGGCGCAGCCGACGACGCUGCUGUACGUGCACGAGGUGGAGUGGAUCACGCGGGAGCUGGAGCGGCUGCUCGGCAGGGAGACCGUUGGCGCCGGCGCCCGCGCGGACGCGCGCCGCCGCCGGAAGAGGGCCGAGGCCGAUGCGGCCAGCAGCCCCGAGGCGCGCGCGAAGAAGGGAGGCUUCCUGGCCGAGCUCCUCGGGAACCACGCGGCCUCCAUAUGCGGCGACGGUGCCGUGGUCAGCGCGCGCCGCCGCCGCGGCCGCAGCGGCUUCCGGGAGGUCGAUAAGGUCUAG